rnacentral:rRNA from 1 species
UACGUAGGGGGCGAGCGUUGUUCGGAAUUACUGGGCGUAAAGGGCGUGUAGGCGGUGCGGUAAGUCGGGCGUGAAAUCCCCGGGCUUAACCUGGGAACUGCACUUGUGACUGCAUGACUCGAGUACGGCAGAGGGGGAUGGAAUUCCGCGUGUAGCAGUGAAAUGCGUAGAUAUGCGGAGGAACACCGAUGGCGAAGGCAAUCCCCUGGGCCUGUACUGACGCUCAUGCACGAAAGCGUGGGGAGCAAACAGG